rnacentral:rRNA from 1 species
GACGAACGCUGGCGGCGUGCUUAACACAUGCAAGUCGAACGGAAAGGCCCUGCUUGCAGGGUACUCGAGUGGCGAACGGGUGAGUAACACGUGGGUGAUCUGCCCUGCACUUCGGGAUAAGCCUGGGAAACUGGGUCUAAUACCGGAUAGGAGCCAUUUUUAGUGUGAUGGUUGGAAAGUUUUUUCGGUGUAGGAUGAGCUCGCGGCCUAUCAGCUUGUUGGUGGGGUAAUGGCCUACCAAGGCGGCGACGGGUAGCCGGCCUGAGAGGGUGGACGGCCACAUUGGGACUGAGAGACGGCCCAGACUGCGACGGGAGGCAGAAGUGGGGAAUAUUGCACAAUGGGCGCAAGCCUGAUGCAGCGACGCCGCGUGGGGGAUGACGGCCUUCGGGUUGUAAACUCCUUUCGCUAGGGACGAAGCUUUUUGUGACGGUACCUAGAUAAGAAGCACCGGCUAACUACGUG